GAGUAAUAUAUUGUCAUAUGUGUGAUGCUCCAAGCAGACUGAUUCAUUGACUUCAACUUGAUUUACUCUUCCAUCUCUGAAUUUCUGUUGCUUCAAACAUGCUUGCCAUUCUUGAACUGUAAAAUAUAAAAUGCCAAUUACAAAAUUACAUGAGCUUGGUGGCUAUCGUCGUUCCCAACUCCUCUGGGCCAAUGUGUAUAUUAUUGGAGUGAGAUUGAGCUCUUACAGUUUGGGACCAGAUGAUAAGUUGGAGGUACAUCAUGUCAUUUUCAUUCCAAGACUAUAUGGUAAGGGUCCAACCAUGAAUUUCUGAUGUGUGUGCUGCUUUCCCAGACCGUACGCGUUCAAUAAAUGAGUAGAUAUUAUUAUUAGGUUUAGUUUGGAGAAGCUAAUGUUAUUCUUGGUGGCUCUAAAUGGUGAAUGGGUGUUGAGAGAGGAGAGCCCUCCUCUCCAAAACAUGAGCUUAUAUAGUCAAACUGACAAAAUUGUCUUCAUUGUGAUUCAUGUUCCUGAUCAUGAUUGGUUGGGGUCUGAUGAAUUCUUGACUGUUGAUUUAGGCGAUUGAUAGAAUCUCAUCUCAUAUAUCCUUCCCGUCCUCCUUGAAAGUUAUGGUGAUCAACACCUUCGUUUUGAAUCACAGUCGAUUAAAUGCAUGUAUGUAGUUGGAAUUAUGAGUUAGGGAUAAGCUUAAUGCAAGUAAAAUUGUCUGAAUCACUUGAGAUAUUUUUUUAUGAACACAUGAAACUAACAAGUAAUUUGAUGAAUUUCUAGUAGCAUGUUGUUGUGUGCCCACAUGGAUAUUGAUUGAUUGAAAUUCACUGAUACCAACAUUGCUCUCGGUUGCUGCGAGAUAUUUGAAGCUGAAAUUAAAUUUUGCUUAUGCAAACUUAUAGUACUAUAAUUGAGAUGAUUUGGUUGUGAAAUUGUGGAUCAUGUUUAAAGUAGAGCUUGAAAUAAAGAAGUAUAUAAAACAUAGGAUUCUUGAAUGUUGAGACAUCUUCCCAUGUGGGUUUCGUCCAACUAUUUAAGUAAUUGUUAGGACCAUUUGUUGUCUUUGUCUGGAAUAUUAGCAUGUAGGUUAGGCAAUCUAUCAUAUUUUGCCUAAUCUCUUUUACUCUCCUUGGUGGAUGAGUUCUUAUUUUCAGGCCAUUGAGUUCGAACAUCAACGUUGUCUUUUCGAUCAAGUCAGUCACAGAGAAUAUAGUGAUCUCGACUGUGGUUGUAGCUAUUUGUGUUCGAUUCUCAUUUGAAGAAUUUUCAUAUCUCUGAUAUUUGAAGAAUUUUCAACUUUUUAUAGGGAGCAAAAAUAUUUCAUUUUCUUUC